rnacentral:lncRNA from 1 species
CUGAACUCAGGAAGCCCCACAGUCCCUUCAUAACAGCCUCCAAAGCCCCAAAACCACUCUUUGCUUUUCCACUGAAACUUCCAUCCUGCAGCUCUCUAAGCCCAGGCAGCUGCCAGGCAAGAGAACUUGAUCUGACAAAUGAAUUCACACUAUUGUGAGAAUGACAUGCAGGCAGCACCUCAAAGGCCUCAGUUUCACGGUGCCCCAGCAGACAGGAGCAGUGACCCAUAUGGUGGGGAGCGCCAGCGGGAAUCACAGUGACAGGACCUGCACCAGGGAACUUCUCAAAGGCAUUGCAUUUCUCGGUGACUUCCAGGCGCUGCCUGUGUGUCUGCACAGUACGGAGCACAACUGGCCAAGAACGGAGUUUCUCUUCCUUCUCCCACCAUGCUGCCCCUCCUCCUCCUGCUGCUGGGGCUUUUAUUCCCUGUGGGCCUUGCAGGCAGCACUGAAAAGGAACCUGGAAGCCAUGAGGUGUGGGAAAGUUUCCCUGACAUUUCUCCCAGAGGUAAACUGCAGAGAACUGGGAACAAAGAGUGAGAUGAUCCUUCUAAAAGCCAUACAAAGAAUCGAUGACAGUUACAUUCAUCAAAAUUCUUGCUUACAUUUCUCUGGAGAAAAGCUAAGAUUUUCUCAUUGGGUUUCUGGCUCCCCGAAUUGAUGGGAAAUAGUAGCAGAUAGCACUGGAGGAAAUCUGGGCUCACCCAGAAAUCUGGGCUUAAUCAAUGAUUUCUGCCAUUCAUCCUUCUUACCAAGAGGCUCCUACAGUUCCACAUUGCUUCCAUCCCAAGUCAGAGGUACUUUUUGAAGAUACAAAAGUUAAUAAAUUAAGAGAGGGGCCUUGCGCAGGCCAGUACAGAGAAUUUUCAUGAACGAAGAAAUAGAAACCCAGUCCAAUUUAAAAGUAUUACAAUUUUUUUUUGGUAAUAUUUCAACAUGUAGAUAAAAUCAGAGACUGAUCCAGUGAAUAGGAGUGGACCCGUUUUCCAGCUCUAUUCUCUAGGGUAGACUUGCAGUAACAAACAACCCCCAAACCUCAGUGGCUGACAGUACUCGUCUCCCAUUCAUCCUCCCAUCCUCCUAGGGUUGCCUGGGGGUGUCAUGCUUGCU